CCUACGGGAGGCAGCAGUGAGGAAUAUUGGUCAAUGGGCGGGAGCCUGAACCAGCCAAGUCGCGUGAGGGAAGACGGUCCUAUGGAUUGUAAACCUCUUUAGGCGGGGAGCAAUGCCGGGCACGCGUGCCCGGAGGGAGAGUACCCGCAGAAUAAGCAUCGGCUAACUCCGUGCCAGCAGCCGCGGUAAUACGGAGGAUGCGAGCGUUAUCCGGAUUUAUUGGGUUUAAAGGGUGCGUAGGCGGAUUUUUAAGUCAGCGGUAAAAUGUCCGGGCUCAACCCGGGCCGGCCGUUGAAACUGGGGAGCUUGAGUGGGCGAGAAGUAUGCGGAAUGCGUGGUGUAGCGGUGAAAUGCAUAGAUAUCACGCAGAACGCCGAUUGCGAAGGCAGCAUACCGGCGCCCGACUGACGCUGAGGCACGAAAGCGUGGGGAUCGAACAGGAUUGGAUACCCCGGUAGUC
rnacentral:rRNA from 1 species